rnacentral:lncRNA from 1 species
AGUUAUUUCAGGAUAAAUGCAGUUAAGUUAUAGGUUUAUUUUGAAGUGGAAAAAACUGUGAUCUCACCAAGCACUCUACUUUCGAGAGGAAAAAACAUUAUGCACACUGAUUGUCUCUUCCUGAAACUGUAAUGUAAAUCUAGGGUCCAGUCAUAUCACAAACACCAUUAUUUAACCAUGUACUUGGGAAAAUACAAGUGUAUAUAAAUGAAGUCAUUGGGAAUGAGUAGAAACAAACCCAAAACAAAUAAGUGUUGUUUAGUACAUGGUUUAACACAGCCUGCUUCAGGAAUCUGAUGGGAUUCAAACAGGUAUCUGCUAACCAUUCCUACCAAAGCUGAUCCAUCGGACUUAGCUGAUAGAGGUGUGACUAAUCCUUACUACUACUUCUCAUCCCUCUUUUCAUGUAGCGUUGUCUUCAUCCAUUGCAGGUUUAUAUGACCGUUUUGUGCAGAUCGCGUCAGAAACCAGGAAGUAUAUAACUAGGGGACAUCAAAAUCACAUCCAAAGAAUUGAUCAAGUGGCAAUGUCAGAUUCUCCUCCCAUCUUUAUUAAAAGCUUUGCCCUAGAAUAUGGCGUGUGUUUUGGAACAAGUAAAUAUUGAAAGGGAAGGUUCAGGGUUAAGGUCUUUGGAACACCAAACUUUUCACUUUGCUUUGGAACAUUUUUUCCCUUUAAAAAACAUUCUGGUCUCCGGAGCCCAGAGUACUGCUCGCUCGUUUGAAGAACUCGGCACCUUUAGUCUUUUCAUCACUAUCUUAAACUUUUGUGAUAGGGUAUUUCAGUUGGUCAAACAGGCUUCUUCCUUAUGUGGGGAUGGAAGGUGAGCAGAAGUAAGGGACACAGCUUCUGAGGGCUGUGUGUUUGCCUGGUGCCUUUUCAGAAGCCAAAGCCGUUUAUUCCCUCUCACCUCCCUUUCCAAAUUGAUGAGGAUCUCUGGCAACUUGUCAUACUGGGUUAGGCAGCAGCACAGAACUGCUAGUCACGUGAAGAAAGAGAAUUCGGGUUCUUCUUUUGUAUGAAUUUGUGGCAAAACCACCAGCUGUCUGCUUCAAUGCACCCUCAGCCUGUAGAGUGAUAUGCUGCUACCUGCC